UACGGAGGGUGCAAACGUUGCUCGGAAUCAUUGGGCGUAAAGCGCGCGUAGGUGGCUUCGUAAGUCCGUUGUGAAAGUCAAAGGCUCAACCUUUGAAAGCCGAUGGAUACUGUGGAGCUAGAGUACGGAAGAGGCGAGUGGAAUUCCUGGUGUAGCGGUGGAAUGCGCAGAUAUCAGGAGGAACACCAAUAGCGAAGGCAGCUCGCUGGGACGUAACUGACACUGAGGCGCGAAAGCGUGGGGAGCGAACAG
rnacentral:rRNA from 1 species